CGUGUAGGCGGCUGAAUAAGUGGGAUGUUAAAUCCCCGGGCUCAACCCGGGAACUGCAUCUCAUACUGUUCAGCUCGAGCACAUCAGAGGAGACUGGAAUUCCCGGUGUAACGGUGAAAUGCGUAGAUAUCGGGAGGAACACCAGUGGCGAAGGCGAGUCUCUGGGAUGAUGCUGACGCUGAGGCGCGAAAGCCAGGGAGCAAACG
rnacentral:rRNA from 1 species